rnacentral:rRNA from 1 species
UACGUAGGGUGCGAGCGUUACUCGGAAUUACUGGGCGUAAAGCGUGCGCAGGCGGUUCGUGAUGUCUGAUGUGAAAGCCCCGGGCUCAACCUGGGAACUGCAUUGGAAACUAGCGGGCUGGAGUGUGGCAGAGGGGGGUGGAAUUCCACGUGUAGCAGUGAAAUGCGUAGAGAUGUGGAGGAACACCGAUGGCGAAGGCAGCCCCCUGGGCUAACACUGACGCUCAUGCACGAAAGCGUGGGGAGCAAACAGG